rnacentral:rRNA from 1 species
AGAACGAACGCUGGCGGCAUGCCUAACACAUGCAAGUCGAACGAGACCUUCGGGUCUAGUGGCGCACGGGUGCGUAACGCGUGGGAAUCUGCCCUUGGGUUCGGGAUAACGGUUGGAAACGACUGCUAAUACCGGAUGAUGUCUUCGGACCAAAGAUUUAUCGCCCAAGGAUGAGCCCGCGUAGGAUUAGCUUGUUGGUGAGGUAAGAGCUCACCAAGGCGACGAUCCUUAGCUGGUCUGAGAGGAUGAUCAGCCACACUGGGACUGAGACACGGCCCAGACUCCUACGGGAGGCAGCAGUGGGGAAUAUUGGACAAUGGGCGAAAGCCUGAUCCAGCAAUGCCGCGUGAGUGAUGAAGGCCUUAGGUUGUAAAGCUCUUUACCCGGGAUGAUAAUGACAGUACCGGAGAAUAAGCCCGCUAACUCCGUGCCAGCAGCCGC